GAUAUAAAUGUUUAAAGCAGUUCUCUUCUCAGAGCAAAGAAUUGGAAAUUGAAGAAAUGCCCAUCAAUUGGGGAAUACCUGAGUAAAUUGUGGUAUAUGAUUAUGAUAGAAUAUUAUUGUUCUAUGGGAAAUGAUGAGUAGGAUGCUCUCAGAAAAACCUGGAAAGUCCUUCAUGAACUCAAAGUGAUAUAUACUGUGUACAAAAUAAUAGCAAUGUUGUGAGAUGAUCAGCUAUGAAUGACUGCUAUCCUCAGUAAUGAUCCACAACUACUUUAAGGGAUUGAUGAUGAAAAAUGCUAUCCAUACCUAGAGAAAGAACUGAAUAUAUCUGAAUACAGACUGAAACAUAAUUUAAUUUUUUUUUCUAGAGGAUUUCUUUUUUUGGUGGGGGAGAUCUAUGUUUUCUUUUGCAACAUGACUUUUUUGGCAAUAUUUUUCAUAACUUUACACAUGUCCUCUUAAUGGGAGGUGAGGGUGGGGAGAGAUUCAAAGUUUACCAAAAAAAUACUAAAAUUUGUUUUACAUAUAACUGGAUAAAAUAAAAAUAUAUAAAUUAUAUAUGAACUUGUCCUCUCUUGGCAAAUUGAAGGUAAGGGUCUCCAAGUCUUCACAAAAUUUUCCUUUGAUAUCAUCUGGGUUUGGUGGGAGGAUAAACACUGAUUUUGGUGAUGUGGCCUUUCCCUGCAAGAAGCAAUCACAUUGUCAGGAGCCUGUUAUUUGUUCUUUUUAGUAAGCAUACAAGCUUGUUGACUCGAUGAGUUUUGAUUGCCAAACCUAUGUCAGCUUCAUGGUUCUCCCCUGCACUGUAGCAACUCCAGAAAAAUGUGCAUCCAGCUCUGACUUCAGUAAGCUAGCCUUCAUUUUCCAAUCUCAUUUCACUCAGGGUUUCUCUUUGGAUGUGAGAACUGCUGAAUUCUCUUACAACAAGAACUGUUCAUCUUUCAGGUCUGCUGGAUUUUGUGUUAUCCAUGAGUAUUCACACAUUCCAUGUACUGAUGGUAAGUAAAAUCACUUUUGCAGAAUUUUUGUGUAUUUGUGUGUGUGUCUGUAUGUGUGUGCGUGUGCGUUUUUAUAGCAGAGUAGAAUAUCACUGGCUCUGGUGAACAUGCCAAGGUUGGGCAAAUAGACAACAUUAGGGCACCAUUUCUAGCCCUUUCCUCACACCAGGACAGGAACACUGUGGCCCUUAAAUGGCAGUUUCAUAUACCCAGGGAGCUGAAUCCCACGGCUGCUUGCCUGGGCUGAGUGUGUGUAAAGUGGUGUCUCUGGCUCCAAUUACAUCUGCACCUAUUGCAUGAUCACUUAUCGGCUGCCACAGGACUUUGAGAAAUGGUCACAUGGUCUGGAUGAUGUCUUCUGACCCAGGCACAAGCUGGAUUUCAGUGGGCCAGGUUUGCGCAGAGUUGUCACAGUGCAGUAGCAGGACACAGUUAAGACACCUGGCCAUGGCUCCAGGUGCAGUGGAUGACCUUGACAUCUUUGAUAGCUAACCAAGUUCUAAGCACUCCACAGCACCGGCUGCAGCGCAUUUAUGGCCCCUGGAGCAGAUUGUCCUCAUCCACCCAUCCCACCGGAGUAAGUCUUCACUUCUUGGGGGAGACGUCUCCUAACUCACCAACGAGUUUGAGAUUUUUGGCUUACCCUGAACCUGAUUUAGCCUGUCCCCCACAAGGGCUUACUGGGCUGUGGCCACUGUCUGCUCCGGCCUCGCGGAGUCACAGAUGAGAGACAGGUGGAGGUCCUAGUCUUACAGCCCCAAAUCCCCAACAAUUCUGAUCCAAUCUCCUUCAAUCUCUGUUAGAGUUCCUUAUCACGCGGCGCUGAUGCCCAAUGUUGAGAGCAUUUGGCCUUAAGGUCUGGCCUGCUUGUAGAGGGUCGAAGCUCCGAACAGGAGACGGCACCGCAAUUUUCCGAGAGCCAGUUUCUCAGAGAACAGGAUUCCCCACUUUCCCUUACUCUGGCGCCGCAGUUUUAUCAGGAUGCUCUUUCUGCUCGGAAGGAGAAAGGGCUGAGUCUUGCAGGAAAGGAGGGGCUGGAGGCGCUGGGGGAGGAGCGAUGACCAGCCCGGUGGGGGGUGGCCCAGGUGGAGCGCGAGCACGGGGCGGAGUUUAGAGGAAUGGGCGGAGUUUAGGUCGGAAGAGACCAUUGUGUGGAGGGGGCAGACUUUAGGGAGAAGAAGUUGUGACAGUCCUUAAGUCCCUCCCUGGGUGACUGAAGGAAAGGGCUCAAGCAACCUAGGGGCUUCAGCGGUUAGACAGGGAGACAUCCACCCCCUCCCAGCGGUCCGGAAGCAGGAAGUCUCUGAGCUGAGAUCGAAAGCAGGAAGCCUCUGACCCGGGAUUGCUCUACCUUUUCUGCGAGCCGAGACCCCUCUGCCUUCCCUGGAGCCGAGACCCCUCUGCCUUCUGGAAGCCAGAAUCGUGCUUGCAAGUCCCAGGGAGCCUGGAGCCAGAGGAAUGGGCCCUGGGAGCCUCAGACCUACUCCUCAGACCUCCUCAUCACCACUGACCAAUGAGGUCCACCACUUCAUCAUGAAUCUCUAUUCCAUGGGGACCAGGUCUGCUCUCUUUGGGCCUGCCUAGCAUCCCUCUCCCCACAAAGUCUCUCCUCUUGGUCUCCUGUGGUCAAGCUUCCCUGAAGCUCCUGGACAACCCUUCACACACAGUUUUGUCUGGACAGGGCAGGAGCAGAGCCUUGAAGGCUUUCCCAGCUCUAGUCCUGUGCAGUGUGGUCAUUAGAGCAGAAACUGUCCUCAUGGGGCUGCUCAGGUCCUUCUGCCUAGGGUCACCCAAGCCUUCUCAGCCUCCCUGAAUCCCUCCCCUUAACCAUUCUUUGGGCCCAGCCAAUAAGCAUUGAGAAAGGCCCUAGGUACAAGCCCCAGAGUUGUAGUACGGAAAGCUCUGGACCAUUCUGCUGUUCUGGUGCUUCUAAGAUCUACCCUGGCACAGGCACUGAUCUCUAUUGUCUAAAAGAGCCCCCAGGAUUCGCAUCCUUGCUUUUGUUGUUCCUGACCCCCAAGUUACUAUACAAACUGGCUUCCUAAUGGUAAUAGGGAGAAAAAGAAGGGUUGAAAGAGUCACAUUAGAGUGUCAUGAUACUUCAAACAGUUUCUUAGAAAGUAUGACUCUGCCACAGGCUGCAGCAGGGUUGACCCAGAAGGAUAUAAUGGCUGGAACUGACUCAAGCCAAUGCUCCCUUUAAAUGUUCAGCAAAAAGCAGACACUCCUAGGUCAUUCCACAAGUAAAAGGAACUUUACUUAAAAUAAAAAGGGCAUUCACUAAAGAUACUAGAGUCCUUUAGCUUGAGUCAACAAGGCUUCUCUUGGUUCCAUGUAGGAGCUCAAUUGGUCAACAGAGCAGGGUGUAGCAAUGUGCCAUCUUUGGAAAUCUGUCAUAUCUGAAGGACCCUGAUUUCACAUGGGUGGAUCUUUAGCCCCUAAGGUUUCCGGGAAACCACUUUAAUUUGUCCAGAGGUCCUCAGAAUACUGCUUGAAGGGAGGCACAUGGAGCCUUUGCCCAUUAUGGAAGUCUGGUACUGGGGCAGCUUUGUUAUCUAUCAGAUAAAAAAAAAAAAAAACUGACCUCACCAUGUGGCAGAAGGACAGAACUCUAGGAGAUGGUGCACUUUCACCAAGGCUGAGAAGCUCAACGGGAAGGGUGCAACCUUUGACAAUCAUUAGUCAACUUGAGUUGAAGACUGGCUGAAGGAAGAAAACUACCAUUUAUUAUGAAGAACCUACUAAGUCCUAGUUGGUCAUUAUGCUAAAUGAGUUCAAUGCAGUAGUAUUCAUUACCUUUAUAGAAUUAACUUAUUCAUCAAUUCCCCAUUUAUAAGUAAUCCCUCAGAUUAUCUUUGUCACCUUGAAAAGAAAUAUAUACAUGUGAUAUGUGUAUCUAUCUAUCUAUCUAUCUAUAUAUAUAUUUAUAUAUAUCCUUUGAAUUUGUUUUGCUUAGGACUGAUCCCUCCCUUAAUUUAUCCUCUCACCAAUUUCCCCUCCCCUUUCCUUCCUUUUCACUGGUAAGUAAAAUGCAUUUUUCCAACCAGCUCUGUGUUGUGUGUAUUCUUCCUUCCUUUACUAGAUAACAGAGGUUCAGACAUCAAAUGUGCUCACCCAUUCCCUCCUCAUAUUAUGAAUAAACAAGGAUGGUUUGAGCUCUUUAGCUGUGGUUAUUUUUUUAAUUCCUUUCUCUUGUCUUUUUACUAUUGGUAGCAUUUCCACAAGAGUGAAAGAAUAAUAAUCCUUGCUUCACUCCUGCAUUUAUUGGGAAAGAUUCUAAUGUAACCCCAGUUCAUGUGAUACUUUUGGUUUCAGAUGUUCUGUAACCAAAACAUUCUCUUUAUUGAAAUGACUGUGACUGUGGUUUUGAUGUUUUGGUUUAGAAAGUGAUUAUGUUUAUUGUUUUCCAAAUGUUCAAUUACUCUUGCAUCCCUGGUAAAAAUUCCACUUGAUCAUAAUGGAUGAUUUCUUGAACAAUUAACUGUAGCCAUUUUGAUAGGACUUUAUUUAAAACUGGAGGGAGGGGACAAUGUUCAUUCAUUGGCUUGUACAGUUUACUUUCUCUGUUCAGACUUUCCUUGGAUUCAGCAUUAGGUCUAUGUUUUUCUUAUAAAAGGAUUUUGAUAGGAUAUUUUCUUAUUUGGGGGGAAUUAGUGAUAAAAUAUGAUAUGAAUUUGAAAGAAUUUCCCUGUCUUCUGAAAUAUUUCAUGUUUUUAGAGGUAGUCCUCUUUGAGCUUACUUUUCUCAUUUGUUUAUCCUUUUUUAUUUUUUCUAGUUUUAUUGUUUUUUACCUUUGUCAUUUGGUAUUUUAUUGCCUGGAUUUUCUCCUCUCUUUUAAUCAGAUUAGCCAAAGGUUUUCUCAACUUUAUUAGUCAUUUCAAAAAAGCCAGUUUUAAUUUUAUUUCUCCUUUUUAUUUUUUAUUCCCAAUUAAUCUAUUUCCCUUCUGAUUUUAAUAAUUUGUCAUUUGAACUUAAUUUAGGUUUGGUCGUUUAUUUUUUUUCUAUUUUUUAGAAUGCAUAUUUAAUGUUCUCUUUUCCUAUAUUUUUUUUUUCUUGAGGCAAUGGGGGUUACUUGCCUAGGGUUACAUAACUAGAAAGUGUUAAGCGUCUGAGAUCAGAUUUGAACUGAGGUCCUCAUGAUUUCAGAUCUGGUGCUUAAUCCACUGUGCCAUUUAGCUGCCCCUUUCUAUAAUAUGAUUGUGAAGUUAUAUUUUCCCCUGAGGACUGCUUUAGCUGAGUCACAGAAAUUUUGGGAUAUCAUUUAAUCAUUCUCAUUUUCUUUUGCAAAGUUAUCAUUUCUGAGAUUUGUCCUCUGAUUCAGUCAUUAUUUAUUAUGUCACUAUUAAAUCUCCAUUUGGGUUUGUAUCUUUUGUUGGUGAUCCCUGAACCAAUUUCUAUUCUUAUUUCAUUAAGACAUGAAAGGAUUUAUUGAUUUUUUUCUGCCUUUUUCACAUUUGUGUCCCAUAUCUCUCUAUCCCAAUGGUUGAUUUUUGUAGAAGUUCCACGUUUUACAAAGAAAUAUAUAUAUUUCUCUGUUGUCCCAUUUAGAUAAUGCCAUAAGUCUUUUACCUUCAGUUUCUCUAGUUGUUUGUUCAUCUGUCCUGCUUUCAUCGCAUUCAACAUUUCUUCAUCCGUCUUUUUCUUUUUGGUUCUCUUGUAGAUUCCCCUUCCUCUCUUGCCCUUCAACUGGUCCUGUUCAUUAGUUUUUUUUUUUUUUUAAUUUCAUGCAUUAGGAUUUUUCUCUCUCUUCUCAUUUUCCAUUUUUUCCUUUUCAUUUUUGCCUAGAUUCUCAUUUUCUGAUUCAUAUCCCCACUAUUCAUCUAGUCUUUCUCUUUUCCCUGUACAUUUCAUAUAGUCAAAGCCUCCAAGGUAUCCAUUCUAAGCUCUGUUCUAUAGGUGCUUUCUGCCAUUGCUUGGAAGCCAACCCCCCCAGAUUCCUCUUUUUCAUUGUUCCUUAUUUUCAGAAUACUGUAUAUCACAGAGAACAGUGCUCCAUAAUAGAGAAAAUCACCUCCUGAUGUUGAAGGAUAAGACACCCUGACAACGUUUGGGGGUCCCCAGGUUGGUGUUGCAGGUAAGAUAAAGGAAUUUGCAGACCCAGCCUCCAAGUUAAGUGGCAAAGGGUUUAUUGAUACUGAGAACAGCAGGCUAGAUUUCAGAUUGAAAUAGCAGAGAGCUAAGGGACAGAGAACAGUUUUAUCCAGCCUCUAUCAUUAGUGUGUAAAUUCUGUGACCCAAGAGUAGGGCUAGGGAGUAUUCUCUGAAUUAGUAGAAGGGUAGUCUCCCGAAAUUUGAUUAUCUCUGACCAGAUCAUCAAUCAGCAAUGGACUGAGAAGUGGCUUUGGAGCUUCCCUUCACAAUAUGUCAGCAAAGAACUGAGAAAUAGUCUAUUCAGAAUCAGACAGAUUGGGCAUGAGAGUUUCCUGAUGCAGACUCCAAAACCAAAAGAUUUAGGAUUUCCUGACAUAGUUAGAACAGAAGCCACCCUAAAAUUAGGGGACAACAAAAUCAUAUUACAUCACUGAUAUUUAUCCUCUCUUGUUAUCCUUUUAUUUUUCUUCCACAUUCUUCUAGAAAUCCCACCCCUGUCUCCAUGUUCUCCUACUCCUCCAAGUGCUGGUAUCCCUCCAUCCCCACUCCCUGCCAAGUAACAACUGCCCCAACUCCAAGACAAGUAGAUUUUUCAGGCAUUAAAUCCCCAAGGCUCAGGGUGAGGUCCCUUAUCUUCUAUAAAAAUAUUCAUCAGUGAAACCCCCUCUUACCUCCAAAGUCAGGAUUCCUUACUUUCUCCAUUUUUUCAGUCUUUUUUCCCUCUCUUCACCUACUCCCCUGUAUGCUCUUCUCUCUCUGAGACCAUGGAGGUCAUUUCAAUCCUCAUUUUCCUUGACCUUUCACCUUUGACACUAUUGAUGACUUCUCUAUGAUACUCUCUUCUCAAAGUUUUAGGACAUGACUUUCUCCUGGCUUUCCUCUUAUGUGACCACUUUUUCUCUGUCUUCAUUCCCGGACUCCUCUUUACUAUGGAAUAUUCACUUUUUUGUCCCUUAUUCUUAAGCCCACAUCUGCAAGAUAGGUCACCCUGGGCUACAUUCUCAGCUCCAAUGCUCUCUGGAACCCAUUCUGUCACUCCUUCCCCUUAUCUACUUGCUUUGAAUUAAUUAGUCUUGUGUUUCCACAAAGUCAGUCAUUUCCCUUGUAUUCAAAGAUCUUUCUCUUCAUGACUUGUAGAACUUGUUGGUUCUAGAUUGAAUUAUUAAAGGGGACUAUUACUAGUGUUAUAAGUUGCAGCCAUGGGUUUUUGCUUUUUUACUCUGUUGGUAAUCUAUGAAUUCUUUCCAUUAGAAUUGCAUUUUCUCUAUUUAGAAAUUAUGGCCAGUUCUCUUUGAUUAUUUCCUUCAUGAUUGUGUCCAUAUUUUCCUCGAAUUGUGUCCUUCUGGGAGAACUGAUCCUUAGAUUGUCUGUGUGCAUGCUAACUUUGAGUUCUGUACACUUCCCUUCAGCAAGGGGCAGAUUUUAUUUGAAUGUUCUUGUUCUUUCCUUCCCUUCUUCUAGGUUCUCUUCCACUUUUGUAUAUUUGAAUUCCUUGUAUAUUUUGUCUUUUGUUUUCUUUGGGGAGACUUGCCGUGGCAGAUUGUAGGUUUUCUAUUCCCUUAGCCUGGAAGUUGAUCAAAAAAAAAAAGAAUACACAAAGGAAAAAACAGAUUAAAAAGGGUUCUGGGUAGGAAGAAGGCAUUCAGGGACUGGAGAAGUCAGUCAGAAAAUCCCCAAAGACGUAGAUCCAAGUGAGAAAUGAAGAGAUAUACGAGGUGAGCUGAUUCAACUCUGCUUUUCUUGGUUGGAAACAGUCUCCCACCAUUCAGUGCAAUGAUGAUUUUUCAUGUUUUCAUGAGAUACAACUUUACUCCAGCUUCUCAAGAAAUAAAAUAUAUCAUUAAUUUUUUUUCUCUUUUAAGUGAUUAUGUGAAAUAAUUCCCACUCAGAAUAUGUUAUACUUGCCUGCUUCUUACAGACUCAUUGGAGCAUUUUCUUGAGUACAUAUGUUUUAUAUCAGUCUUGCUGAGGAAGAGAUUUCCCAGCACCCUUUCUUUCUCUUCCACAGCUCCAUCCACCUCACACAUAAAUCACAAACUUUCUUCCUGCUUCUGCACAGAGAAGUCUUCUCAGUUUUAUUCCACCCGAAUCAUAUAAAAUGUUUUUCUCAAAAUUCAAUAAGAUUCUUAAUAACUAUGGUUUCAAGAGUUUCUGAUUCUCAUAAAAGGGAUGAACUUUGAGUACAUGCCUUUUCUGUGUUUCCGUUUCCUUCUGUAAGUUGAUAAGGGUUAAUGGACUCUUUACUUCUGAAGGGUCUUUCAGCUCCACAUCUUCUGA